rnacentral:tRNA from 1 species
GUUCAGGUAGCUCAGUGGUAGAGCAGAAGACUGAAAAUCUUCGUGCCGUUGGUUCGAUUCCAACCUUGGACA